UGAGGGGAUAGAAGGUAAAGGGCUAUUAGAACUGAAAUCACAAAUGCUGUGCAAAGGAGUAAUGCCAUUAUCUUCAAAUAACAGGCUCAUGACCUCAAAGCGGACAGACAACAGCAAGAGACAUGAUCACACUCAGUGGGGCAAAAAUGACAAAGGACCGAGCCAAGUUUUCCAUUGGCCCUGAUAUUAAUAUGGAAGUGCUUCUCCAGGAUGACUGCAUCAGGUGCUGAACUACACAGAGGAGAAGAAGGAAAACAUCUCAGAAGUGGGGAAAGGAGUUCAGUGUUUCUGGAAGUCAAGAUUUGGCUAAUAAAUGCAUGGAUCUUCAUUCUCAGUGCAAUGUUUUGAGACUAACAGUAUGAGCGUAGUAGAGAAAUGCCAUGGUAUUAACAGCAGAUCUAGAAAUCACUAAUAUUGUACAGUGCAUAGAUCAAGAAGACUGUACUAGCAAAAACAUCACACUAACAAUACCUGAAAAGGAAAUCCAAGAAAUAAGGUUGCUUCUCUGUGUGCCUUCCAUACACUUGGAAAUAUAUGGAGGAAGUGGGAA